UAAUUAAUAAUAUUAAAGAGUAUAUAUGCAUUUUGACUAACAACGGAUUCAUUCUUUAUAUUAAAGCAUGUCACCACUUAAUUAUGAAUUAUGCAGCAAAAUAAUAGGUGCUAAAUACUUCAAUAUCGAAGGUGCCAAUUCCAAAGAUGAUAUAAUAUCUCCUAGAGAUGCAGAAGGCCACGGAUCACACACUGCAUCCACAAUUGCUGGAAAUUUGGUUAAGUCAGCGAGUCUACUAGGGUUUGCCUCAGGGACAGCCCGUGGAGGAUGAGUUCCAUCAGCACGUCUUCCUAUAUACAAAGCAUGUUGGAUCAAAAUAGGUUGUCCUGAGGUUGACGCUCUUGCAGCAUUUAAUGAAGCAAUUGCUGAUGGAGUUGAUAUCAUUUCUAUUUCAGCUUGACCCACUAACUUAGAGGACAUUUUUCAGUAUUUCCAAACUUCAUAUAAUAUAGGAAGUUUCCAUGCAAUGAAAAGAGGCAUAUUAACGUCAAAUUCUGCCAUGAAUUUGGGUCCAGGAUUUUACACUACGACGAUUUAUCCACCGUGGAUCCUUUCUGUGGCUGCUAGCACUAUCGACAGAAAGUUCAUUACCAAGGUGCAAGUGGACAACGGCAUGGUUUUUGAGGGGGUUUCAAUUAACACUUUUGAUCUCAAAAGGAAAAUGUUUCCAAUGGUUUACGCUGGAGAUGUACCCAACACUGCCGAUGGAUACAACAGUUCCAUAUCCAGGCUUUGCUACGAUAACUCUGUGGAUAAACAUUUGGUGAAAGGAAAAAUUGUUCUGUGUGGUGGCUUCCAGUCUAUUGGACAUGUUGAGGUUGUUGGAAGAAGAAGAAGAUUUUAUUUCAUUUGACACACCAAAUACAAGAAGGUUUUGUCUGGGGAAGCUGGGAUGCUUGUUGGAGGCCCUGCUGCAAAAGAUGUGCAAGCAACAUUUGCACUAGUGAAAGCCAGAGCUUGGAACAAGCAAAAAUUGGCUGCAAAAUUGAGGAACUGACAGAGAUUCCAGUCUUUAACAUGGGCUUGUGUGGGGAGAAAAAGCCCAAAUCAAAGAAACUAUAAGGGCAGCCAUCAAAGAAUCUCAUGGCAGAAAGAAGGAGAAGAAAGUGUUUGAAUGACAGGCUUUCCAUGCUAAGGUCAAUAGUCCCUAAGAUUAGCAAGAUGGACAGGACCUCCAUUCUUGGAGACACCAUUGAUUACAUGAAAGAGCUUCUAGAAAGGAUAGGCAAGUUGCAAGAAGAAGAAAUGGAGGAGGGAACAAAUCGGAUAAACCUCUUGGGCAUUUCUAAGGAGCUAAAGCCAAAUGAAGUAAUGGUAAGAAAUUCCCCCAAGGUAUGCUUAGUUCUAGUCACUCACUCAAACCCCUAAACUGAUCCAUAAUCAUAGGCCAAAUUCCUGAACAAAUCAUAGACCAGGACACAAGGAUUAGCAUCUGCUGUGCCACAAAGCCAGGAUUACUACUGUCCACAGUGAACACCUUAGAAGCAUUAGGCCUUGAGAUUCACCAGUGUGUUAUAAGCAGCUUCAAUGAUUUUUCAAUACAAGCAUCUUGCUCAGAGGUAGCAGAGCAGAGAAAUUGUAUGAGCCAAGAAGAGAUAAAGCAAGCACUAUUCAGAAAUGCAAGUUAUGGUGAGGCUUCUGUGCAAAAUGUUCCCUAAUUUCUGAGAAAGAAGAACAUUUAGGGGCAAGUGGUAAGGAGAAACAACAACUCACCAGUGACGACGACGUUGGGGUGAUACUCCGGCGAAAGGCGGCGACGGAGCUGAGGCUACGGUUCCACGGCGGCGGCGGGGGAGGUUCUUUGAACCUUUAAAAGGUUCACUUUGCAGCUAAAAGAAAGUGUUCAGCGGCAGCGGGGGAGUUUCUUCGAAAGGGCGCCUCACUUUGCUGACAGCUUAGAAGAUUAGGGUAAACAACAAGACAACUUAGAGUUUCGAAA